UACGUAGGAUGCAAGCGUUGUCCGGAUUUAUUGGGCGUAAAGAGUUCGUAGGUGGUUCGUUAAGUCUGAUGUUAAAUAUCGGGGCUCAACCUCGGGAGUGCAUUGGAUACUGGCGGACUUGAGUGUGGUAGAGGCAAUCGGAAUUCCAGGUGUAGCGGUGAAAUGCGUAGAUAUCUGGAAGAACACCGGUGGCGCAAGCGGAUUGCUGGGCCAUAACUGACACUGAGGAACGAAAGCUAGGGGAGCAAAUGGG
rnacentral:rRNA from 1 species